AACGAACGCUGGCGGCAGGCUUAACACAUGCAAGUCGAACGCAUCCUUCGGGGUGAGUGGCAGACGGGUGAGUAACGCGUGGGAACGUGCCCUUCAGUUCGGGAUAACCCAGGGAAACUUGGGCUAAUACCGGAUACGUGCGAGAGCAGAAAGAUUUAUAGCUGAAGGAUCGGCCCGCGGCGGAUUAGCUAGUUGGUGGGGUAAUGGCCCACCAAAGCGACGAUCAGUAGCUGGUCUGAGAGGAUGAUCAGCCACAUUGGGACUGAGACACGGCCCAAACUCCUACGGGAGGCAGCAGUGGGGAAUGUUGGACAAUGGGCGCAAGCCUGAUCCAGCCAUGCCGCGUGAGUGAUGAAGGCCUUAGGGUUGUAAAGCUCUUUCGUCCGGGACGAUAAUGACGGUACCGGAAGAAGAAGCCCCGGCUAACUUCGUGCCAGCCGCCGCGGUAA
rnacentral:rRNA from 1 species